UUGGGGAUGUUCAAAUUUUUUCUAAGUGCUGUGUGAAAAUGCAAGAAAGGUAAGAGUAGCGUUAAUAAGACCCAUGAACUAAAACGAGUUUGACGCUCCUAAUUUAAAACGUCCCAAAUACUUUAAGCCAAUACCAUUAACUUUAGUGCGGUAAGCUGUGACACCAUAAUUUGCUCACUGCCUAAAUCUCAUAUCUAGACCUAAGGUUUCAACUCGGGAUCGUAUGCCACUCAUUUCAGUAUGUUCUCAUGCUUCUUAAGGUGUAACCUUUGACAGGUCUUAAUCCAUGACAGCUGCCUUGGUUUAUUGGUUUGGUUUAUACAGACAAGAAUCCUAGUGUUAGGAUUUACCAAAUACAGACUGUGCCAGUAUUUCGAAUUGCAUUCAUUCCUAGUUUCUUCAUUGGCUGAAUAGUGUAUCUAUGCUUUCUGUAUACGUUUUUAUCCUCUAAGCAUGAUUCAAACUUCAACACAUUUGAUCAGCUGCUGCUGUACAUGUUCAUUUGUGGCAAAACGUUCUGUCUAAUCAUUUAACACGCUCUGAAAUUCUGUUUCAUGUUUCCAGAGGAGAAAAAUCGGAGUGCAAGUUCUUUGACCAGCUGGUGCAGGUCUUUGGAAGCAAGUACGUAAUAAACUCUGACCCCCUGGCCGACGACACAGCCGAUGGUAUAGAGACCUGAGACUGUCCGUCAUCGUGGAGUCAGAUCAUGAGGACGCAGCAGCUGCAGACGACGGAGGAACAUCGAGAAGAUAAGAACAAGGACACUGAGGCAGAAACUGUCACAUCAGCAGCUGUGGUGUGCAGUUGUUUACAGAUGACAUUUGCCUCUGUACAUACUUCAAAUACUUUUACAUUCUUCAUACACACUGGCUGUAGUGGUGUGUGUGUGUGUGUGCGUGUGUGUGUGUGUGUGUGUGCGUGUGUGUUUGCGUCCCUCCACCAGUGUCUUUGUAUGAUUUCCAAUAGAGCCAUGACACUAAAUCCAGAAAGCUCAGGGCUCGAGGGACAAAAACCAAUCUCUGAUUUUGACCUGGAGGGAGUCGCUUGAAACGCCGUGCUCCUCCAGAAAACAUGUUUUUGCUAGCGUUGAAUUAUUUUGUACUUUGAAUCGAAGCACACGCAAAAAGAAACACACGUAAGACCUCUGUUACCGUAAGCACUGCGCACAUUUGCUUUGUUUGUUUUAUUCUGUCUUUGCACUUGUUUACAGUGUUUGAAAUCCGAGUUGUGAAAGUUGGAUUCAUGAAGCUAAUUCUUAUUUUUUACAUCAUAUGAACUGAUAUUGUCCAGAAUUAUAUUUAUUUAAGUUAUUGUUUACAUAUGUAUUCCAAACUUUUACAGUUUUCAUUGAAUAUGUUUCACUUCAAACUUUAUUGAAGCGCAUUUUUUCCACAAACUUGUCGAGGUUUUGUCACACGCAUUAAAAUAAACUUGAAAUGUUUGAUUGAUGA